rnacentral:rRNA from 1 species
UGAGUAACCUGCCCUGGACUUUGGGAUAACCCUCGGAAACGGGGGCUAAUACCGGAUAUGACAUGCUCUCGCAUGGGGGUGUGUGGAAAGUUUUUCGGUCUGGGAUGGGCUCGCGGUCUAUCAGCUUGUUGGUGGGGUGAUGGCCUACCAAGGCGACGACGGGUAGCCGGCCUGAGAGGGCGACCGGCCACACUGGGACUGAGACACGGCCCAGACCUCCGUACGGGAGGCA